rnacentral:rRNA from 1 species
UAGUAACGGCGAGUGAAGAGGGAAAAGCUCAAAUUUUGAAUCUGGUGUCUUUGACUCCCGAGUUGUAAUCUAGAGAAGUGUUUUCCGUGUCGGACCACGUAUAAGUUCCCUGGAACGGGGCGUCAUAGAGGGUGAGAAUCCCGUAUAUGCCGUGGACUACCGAUGCUCUGUGAUACACUCUCAACGAGUCGAGUUGUUUGGGAAUGCAGCUCAAAAUGGGUGGUAAAUUCCAUCUAAAGCUAAAUAUUGGCGAGAGACCGAUAGCGAACAAGUACCGUGAGGGAAAGAUGAAAAGCACUUUGGAAAGAGAGUGAAACAGUACGUGAAAUUGUUGAAAGGGAAGCGUUUGAAGUCAGUCACGUUUGUUGGGAUUCAGCCUGGCUUCUGCCUGGUGUAUUUCCUAGCCGACGGGUCAGCAUCAGUUUCGACCAAGGGAAAAAGACAUUUGGAAUGUGGCUGUCUUCGGGCAGUGUUAUAGCCCUUGUGUUGUAUGCCUUGGUUUGGGACUGGAGGAAUGCAACCGCGCCUUAUGGCCCGGGGGUCGCUCCUUCUCGACACGCGCUUUAGG